UACCAUGCAAGUCGAGCGGGGAAGUAGUAGCUUGCUACUUUGACCUAGCGGCGGACGGGUGAGUAAUGCUUAGGAAUCUGCCUAUUAGUGGGGGACAACAUCUCGAAAGGGAUGCUAAUACCGCAUACGUCCUACGGGAGAAAGCAGGGGACCUUCGGGCCUUGCGCUAAUAGAUGAGCCUAAGUCGGAUUAGCUAGUUGGUGGGGUAAAGGCCUACCAAGGCGACGAUCUGUAGCGGGUCUGAGAGGAUGAUCCGCCACACUGGGACUGAGACACGGCCCAGACUCCUACGGGAGGCAGCAGUGGGGAAUAUUGGACAAUGGGGGGAACCCUGAUCCAGCCAUGCCGCGUGUGUGAAGAAGGCCUUUUGGUUGUAAAGCACUUUAAGCGAGGAGGAGGCUACCGAGAUUAAUACUCUUGGAUAGUGGACGUUACUCGCAGAAUAAGCACCGGCUAACUCUGUGCCAGCAGCCGCGGUAAUACAGAGGGUGCAAGCGUUAAUCGGAUUUACUGGGCGUAAAGCGCGCGUAGGUGGCCAAUUAAGUCAAAUGUGAAAUCCCCGAGCUUAACUUGGGAAUUGCAUUCGAUACUGGUUGGCUAGAGUAUGGGAGAGGAUGGUAGAAUUCCAGGUGUAGCGGUGAAAUGCGUAGAGAUCUGGAGGAAUACCGAUGGCGAAGGCAGCCAUCUGGCCUAAUACUGACACUGAGGUGCGAAAGCAUGGGGAGCAAACAGGAUUAGAUACCCUGGUAGUCCAUGCCGUAAACGAUGUCUACUAGCCGUUGGGGGCCUUUGAGGCUUUAGUGGCGCAGCUCA
rnacentral:rRNA from 1 species